AGACAGCAGUCGCCGCGGGAAAACGUAGGUGGCAGGCGUUGUCCGGAAUUAUUGGGCGUAAAGGGCUCGCAGGCGGUUUCUUAAGUCUGAUGUGAAAGCCCCCGGCUCAACCGGGGAGGGUCAUUGGAAACUGGGAAACUUGAGUGCAGAAGAGGAGAGUGGAAUUCCACGUGUAGCGGUGAAAUGCGUUGAGAUGUGGAGGAACACCAGUGGCGAAGGCGACUCUCUGGUCUGUAACUGACGCUGAGGAGCGAAAGCGUGGGGAGCGAACAGGAUUAGAUACCCGGGUAGUCCCUGUCUCUUAUAC
rnacentral:rRNA from 1 species